rnacentral:snRNA from 1 species
AUAUUAAAUGGAUUUUUGAAACAGGGGGAUGGAAGAGGAGCUUGCUCGGUCCACCCCAUGCAUCAACCUGGUAUUGCAGUGUCUCCAGGACUGGUGCGUCUCCU